UAGUCAGCCUUUUUCAGACAUCAUGUGGGUGAAAAGUGGAAUAAACGAGCAAAGACGUCAUAAAUGCUAAAAUCUUCGUUUUAAUGAUUUUCAUAAAGUUUCACAAUCGUCCGACACGUCGACGUCUUCUCAUCGUGAUCGUUUAGCGUGACAGGGCUGCCAAUCUCGGGACGCCGCACUAUACUUUUCUUUUCGUUCUGAAUUGAUGAUUGUCUCCAAAAUAUACAUAAUCCAGCGUCCACCGGCGAUCUUACGUAGGUCGUCGUUCCAGCGGGCCGGAGGACGUCCCACACUGUAUUUGCCAAAACGCGGUCCCCACUUCAGAACACGUCUGCUCUAGCGGCUAUCGGUCCUGCGAUACAGGUGACCAGCUCAUUACCACUACAACUUGCUAAUUCUGUGGGCUAUGUCUGCUACUUUCCUGGGAUAGUUCACCUCACGGAUCGUCUCAUUUCUAAUUCUAUCUUUGAGAGAUACCCCAACCAUAGUCACCUAUGAAUAAAAUAUUCCACAGCAAA